AGGUGAUUGUGCUAUCUACUCA
rnacentral:siRNA from 1 species